rnacentral:rRNA from 1 species
UGAGGGAUGACGGCCUUCGGGUUGUAAACCUCUUUUAGCAGGGAAGAAGCGAAAGUGACGGUACCUGCAGAAAAAGCGCCGGCUAACUACGUGCCAGCAGCCGCGGUAAUACGUAGGGCGCAAGCGUUAUCCGGAAUUAUUGGGCGUAAAGAGCUCGUAGGCGGUUUGUCGCGUCUGCUGUGAAAUCCCGAGGCUCAACCUCGGGCCUGCAGUGGGUACGGGCAGACUAGAGUGCGGUAGGGGAGAUUGGAAUUCCUGGUGUAGCGGUGGAAUGCGCAGAUAUCAGGAGGAACACCGAUGGCGAAGGCAGAUCUCUGGGCCGUAACUGACGCUGAGGAGCGAAAGGGUGGGGAGCAAACAGGCUUAGAUACCCUGGUAGUCCACCCCGUAAACGUUGGGAACUAGUUGUGGGGUCCAUUCCACGGAUUCCGUGACGCAGCUAACGCAUUAAGUUCCCCGCCUGGGGAGUACGGCCGCAAGGCUAAAACUCAAUA